UCAAAGAGGCAGCGUCUCAGCAGAACAAAAAUGCGCGGCUUCAAUGGAUCAACUAAAGCACCAAAUUUUGCCAAUGUGCUCACUGCAGCAGCCCGAACAGUAGCAUUCUCAAGAUGCACACGGUUGUAGAUGUAGCGUAUAUAUUUGCUGGGAUCUGAGGUCUUUGGCCCCUCAUUCCCCAGGAAAUGGAGUAUCUGUGUUGAAAGGUAUGUAAAUUCACAAUCUUCAAUGAACUCACACAAAUGAAGCAACCCACUUUCCUUUGCUUCAGGGAUAUCUCUAAUGAGGAUCACUAUGGA
rnacentral:misc_RNA from 1 species